UCUGCUGCUAAUAUCAUCCCACCAAGCACUCACAUGCUUCCUGCUGGUUAUCAUGUAUUCCCUUCCCAUUUGACCCACCAAGUACUGAGUAAAUGGCAGGUGGCUCAGAUCAGCAAGGCUGAAGAAAUCACCGGCCAAGUACUUGUUCUUUGACAGCCUCUCCUCAUAAAUAUCCAGAACUUUGCCUAGCUUUUCCUCGCUUUCCUUGAUCAAAUUUUCAUCAGGAGGGAACCCCAUCUUGGAAGCAAACAUCAAAUGUAGGGUCAAGGCGUAAAUUGGUGGGUUGAAAUUGUGUGCCUCAACCUCUAGCCAAUUUUCCACUUGACCCCUUUCCUCUACUGUCUUUCCCAGUAGAUCAGUCCCUUGUGAUUUGUAUUUUUCUGCAUAGUAUCUUAUGAUUGCACGGGAUUCUGCAAAAACCCAAAUUGUAAAAAUCAUCAUUUGGUGCUGUUUAAUUAAUAUAAAUAUUAAAGUAAGAAAGAUUAGUUUUUAAGAAAGUGGUUUAGAAUGUCAUCUUUCUUUGCUAAAGAGUGAGCACUCAGAAAUUAAAGUCUUUCUAGGUGCAUUUAUCAAUCGUAUUCUAUAUAUUAGAAAAUAUGGAAUUCUCCGGGACCACUGCUGUCUUUGUUUUCUAGGAAAAGGACUAUGACUUGCAUUAUAAUAUGAAACACUGGAACCAGACAACCAGUCAUUCACUAUAGUAAGUAAAAUUGUAUUUUACCCUUUUCUUUUUACUAAAUAAUAGAUAAAUCAAUUUUUUUAAUAAAUUAAUUAUUUUAUAAAAAAAUUAUUUAUUUUUAUUGUUAAAAUUUAAUUUUUAUUUAUGGUGCACACUCAGCUUUCAACGAUUUAUUAGACUCAGAAUAAAUUUUUAGUGCCCCUUUUUUUUAAUCUUAUAUAUUCUCAAAGACCCUAAAAAAUUUGGGGGAGAAGAUAGCAUCUGAAUCUACAUGUAAGAAAAACAGGAGAUAACUUACCAUAUAAAACAUAAUCUCCAUCUUGAGUGACAGGAACUGUUCCAAAAGGCUGCAAAGAAGAGAUUGAGAUGAUUGAUUGUUUAACAUUAAUUUUCACUGAGAACUGGAAUUUCUUAACCAAAAAAAAAAGCGGGGGGGGGGGGGGGGGGAAGCUUAAGAAGGUGACCUGGAGCUUGAGAAAUUCAGGGUCUUUGUGCUCUCCUUUAAGCAAAUCAACAGGGACAGUCUCGAAUUCAAUCUCCUUUUCAAUAAGACAUGCAAUCACUCG
rnacentral:lncRNA from 1 species